UGGUUACGCAUUAUUCCUGCAUAAUUGCAACAUGAGAGUUUGACCAUGGCCCGCACUGAACGCUGGCGGACGCCUACAUUAGAUGCAAGCCGGAACGGCAGCACGGACUUCGGUCUGGUGGCGAGUGGCGAACGGGUGAGUAAUGCGGUAUUCAACGCUGCGAGGCGGUGGGGAUAACUACGCGAAAGCGUGGCUACUACUGCGCCAGUCACCCUUCUGGGGAAAGUGGGACUCCUGUAACUGCGUCUGCUACGCCGAUACUGGAUUAGCUAGUUGCGGGUAAUCGCCCAUCAAGGCGACGAUCCGCAGCUGGUUUGAGAGGACGACCAGCCACACUGGGACUGAGACACGGCCCAGACUCCUACGGGAGGCAGCAGUGGGAAUUUAUCAAUGGGGUAAAACCCUGAUCCAGCCAUCCCCCGCGUGGUGCGACAAGGCCUUCGGGUUGUAAAAGCAAUUUUUGGCAGGAAAGAAACGGCACGGGAUAGACACCUCAGCAACGGAUUUGCACUCACAGAAUAAGCACUGGCUAACCACGCCAGCGGUGCCAGCGGUAAUACGUAGGUAAGCGUUAAUCGGAAUUACUGGGCGUGGAAGCGUGCGCAGGCGGUUCGGAAAGAAAGAUGUGGGAACCGAGCUAACUUUGAAAACUCUGCAUUUUUGGGGAAUCUACUUCGAGUUUAGAGUGUGGCUGAGGGAGGUGGAAUUCCGCGUGUGCAGUGGUGAAAUGCGUAGAUAUGCGGAGGGAACACCGAUGGCGAAGGCAGCCUCCUGGACAGAACACUGACGCUCAUGCACGAAAGCGUGGGGAGCAAACAGGAUUAGAUACCCUGGUAGUCCAUGUUCUAAACGAUGUCAACUAGCUGCUGGGGCCUCUCGGCCUUGGUAGCGCAGCCAACAAGAAGUUGACCGCCUGGGGAGCACGGUCGCAAGAUUAAAACUCAAAGGAAUUGACGGGGACCCGCACAAGCGGUGGAUGAUGUGGAUUAAUCUGAUGCAACGCGAAAACCUUACCUACCCUUGACAUGUCUGGAAUCCCGAAGAGAUUUGGGAGUGCUCGCAAGAGAACCGGAAAACAGAAGUGUAAGUAUUGCUGUCAUUGUGUCAUGAGGACAAGCUGUUAAGUCCCGCAACGAGCGCAACCUCGGUCAUUAGUUGCUACGAAAGCGCACUCUAAUGAGACGCUGCCAGGACAAACUGAUAAAGGUGGGGAUGACGCCUGGUCCCAGUGGCCUUGGUGGUAGGGCUUCACACGUCAUACAAUGGUCGGGAUUGAGGUCGCCAACCCGCGAGGGGGAGCCAAUCCCAGAAACCUGAUCGUAGUCCGAUCGCAGUCUGCAAACUCGACUGCGUGGUCGGAAUCGCUAGUAAUCGGGUGGAUCAGCAUGUCGCGGUGAAUACGUUCCUGGCCCUUGUACACACCGCCCGCCACCAUGGGAGUGGCUACCAGAAGUAGUUAGCCUAACCGUAAGGGAGGGCGAUUACCACGGUAGGAUUCAGGCGACUGGGGUGAAGUCGGGUCAAGGUAG
rnacentral:rRNA from 1 species